UACGUAGGGGGCUAGCGUUAUCCGGAAUUACUGGGUGUAAAGGGUGUGUAGGCGGCUAGGCAAGUCAGGCGUGAAAUGUACAGGCUUAACCUGUGAACUGCGUUUGAAACUGCAUAGCUUGAGUAGAGUAGAGGCAAGCGGAAUUUCCGGUGUAGCGGUGAAAUGCGUAGAGAUCGGAAGGAACACCAGUGGCGAAGGCGGCUUGCUGGGCUCAAACUGACGCUGAGGCACGAAAGCAUGGGGAGCAAACA
rnacentral:rRNA from 1 species